GACGAACGCUGGCGGCGUGCUUAACACAUGCAAGUCGAACGGAAAGGCCCUGCUUUUGUGGGGUGCUCGAGUGGCGAACGGGUGAGUAACACGUGAGUAACCUGCCCUUGACUUUGGGAUAACUUCAGGAAACUGGGGCUAAUACCGGAUAGGAGCUCCUGCUGCAUGGUGGGGGUUGGAAAGUUUCGGCGGUUGGGGAUGGACUCGCGGCUUAUCAGCUUGUUGGUGGGGUAGUGGCUUACCAAGGCUUUGACGGGUAGCCGGCCUGGGAGGGUGACCGGCCUCAUGGGGCGGACGCAAGGCCCAGGAGGCAAAGGGGGGGCAGCGGUGGGAAUUUGUGCACAAGGGGCGGAGCUGGGAGAAGAACGCGCCGGGUGGGGGAUGCCGGCUUGGGGUGAAAAACCCGCGUCCGCUUGUGAAGAAGGGGGAGUGACGGUAAGGGGAAAAGAAGCCCCGGCUAACUACGUG
rnacentral:rRNA from 1 species